rnacentral:rRNA from 1 species
AGCGAACGCUGGCGGCAGGCCUAACACAUGCAAGUCGAACGGAUCCUUCGGGAUUAGUGGCGGACGGGUGAGUAACACGUGGGAACGUGCCCUUUGGUUCGGAACAACUCAGGGAAACUUGAGCUAAUACCGGAUGUGCCCUUCGGGGGAAAGAUUUAUCGCCAUUGGAGCGGCCCGCGUCUGAUUAGCUAGUUGGUGAGGUAAAGGCUCACCAAGGCGACGAUCAGUAGCUGGUCUGAGAGGAUGAGCAGCCACAUUGGGACUGAGACACGGCCGAAACUCCUACGGACGGCAGCAGUGGGGAAUCUUGCGCAAUGGGCGAAAGCCUGACGCAGCAAUGCCGCGUGAAUGAUGAAGGUCUUAGGAUUGUAAAAUUCUUUCACCGGGGACGAUAAUGACGGUACCCGGAGAAGAAGCCCCGGCUAACUUCGUGCCAGCCGCCGCGGUAA